ensembl:lncRNA
AGGAUGACUGCAUACAUACACCUGGCUAAAGAGGGCAGUGUGUGAAAGAAAUGGCCGAGAGGCAGUUGGAACACGAGGAUCUGGCUCUGUUGCCCUCGAGGAGUGAGAAUGUGAAAGGGCCCACAGAACGAGAAAGGAGUCUAGCAUGGCUGUCCACUGAGAGGCUCUACCAGCAGUUGACUGAGACAGAAGAAGAUACUUAGAGCCAACAAUUGGACUGAGGUCAGGACUCCUGUGGGAGAGUUUGGGGAAGGAUUGAAGGAGCUGGAGAUGGCAACAUAGGAAGAUCAACAGUGUCAACAACCUGGACCUCUGGGAACUCCCAAAGACUAAGCCACCAAACAAAGAACAUACAUGGGUCCAAUCCCCACCACCACCACCACCACCACCACCACCACCACAUGUAGCAGAGGACUGCCUUGUCUGGCCUCAGUGGGAGAGGAUAUGCCUAAUCCUGAGUCCCAGGGAAGGGGAUUCAGGGAGGCAGCCUCUCAGAGGUGAAGGAGAGGGUGAGGGUUGAAAAACUCUGGGAAGAGAGACUGGGAGGGGGAGCAACAUUUUCAGUGUAAAUAACUAAAAGUUUUUUAAAAUUAAAGAAGCUACCUUUAAUUUUCUUUAAAAUUAAAGAAGUUGACCUCUGGUCUCCACAUAGUCACACAAACACAGGCAAACAUACCCACACAUACAUAAUAUACAGACAUAUACAGAAAAAACAAAAGAAAGACAGGGUCUCACUGUAUAGCUCUCUGGCUGUCC